AUCUACAGCCAUGCCAUCCUGAACAAGCCCUAUCCCGUCUGAUCUCAGAAGCUAAGCAGUGUCAGGACUGCUUAGUACUUGGAUGGGAGACUACCUAGGAAGACCAGGUGUUGUAGGUG
rnacentral:rRNA from 1 species